UACGGGAGGUGCAAGCGUUGUUCGGAGUGACUGGGCGUAAAGCGCACGUAGGUGGGCUUGUAAGUCGGAUGUGAAAUCCCUGGGCUUAACCUAGGAACUGCAUCCGACACUAUGAGUCUUGAAUGCUCAGAGGUUGGUAGAAUUCCAGGUGAUAGGAGUGAAAUCCGUAGAUAUCUGGAGGAAUACCGGAGCGAAGGCGGCCAACUGGGAAUGCAUUGACAUGAGGUGCGAAAGCGUGGGGAGCAAACACGG
rnacentral:rRNA from 1 species